rnacentral:rRNA from 1 species
AUGAACCAAACGUCGAGUUAAGGGGCCUAAAUGAAUGCUCAUUCAGAUCCCAUCGAAAGGUGUUGGUUGCUAUAGACAGCAGGACGGUGGCCAUGGAAGUUGGAAUCCGCUAAGGAGUGUGUAACAACUCACCUGCCGAAGCAACUAGCCCUUAAAAUGGUAUGGCGCUCAAGCAUUCUCCCGAUACUCGACCGCCGGGGCACUACCGGCCCGGGCAAGUGAGUCCGGGUCUCGAAGCCCCGGUGAGUAGGAGGGUCGCGGUGGUGAGCGCUGAAGGGUUCGGCGUGAGCCGGCCUGGAGCCUCCACUGGUGCAGAUCUUGGUGGUAGUAGCAAAUAUUCGAGAGAGACUCCCUUGAAGGCCGAAGUGGAGAAGGGUUCCA